rnacentral:rRNA from 1 species
UACGGGGGGAGCAAGCGUUGUUCGGAUUUACUGGGCGUAAAGGGCGCGUAGGCGGCCACCGCAAGUCAGUUGUGAAAUCUCUGGGCUUAACCCAGAAAGGUCAACUGAUACUGCGGGGCUAGAGUGCAGAAGGGGCAACUGGAAUUCUCGGUGUAGCGGUGAAAUGCGUAGAUAUCGAGAGGAACACCUGCGGCGAAGGCGGGUUGCUGGGCUGACACUGACGCUGAUGCGCGAAAGCCAGGGAGCAAACGGG